rnacentral:rRNA from 1 species
GAUAGAGGCCUACCAUGGUGGUAACGGGUAACGGGGUGUUAGGGCACGACACCGGAGAGGGAGCCUGAGAAACGGCUGCCACAUCCAAGGAUGGCAGCAGGCGCGCAAAUUACCCAAUCCCGACACGGGGAGGUAGUGACAAUAAAUAACAAUGCGGGGUUCUUUAGGAUCUCGUAAUAGGAAUGAGUACAAUUUAAAUCUCUUAACGAGGAACAAUUGGAGGGCAAGUCUGGUGCCAGCAGCCGCGGUAAUUCCAGCUCCAAUAGUGUAUAUUAAAGUUGUUGCAGUUAAAAAGCUCGUAGUUGAAUUUCAGAAUCAAUUUAUUGGUCGUACCUUUUGGUACGUACUGAUUUUAUUGGUUUCUCCCUUCUGACGAACCAUGAUGUCAUUAAUUUGAUGUCUUGGGGAAUCAGGACUGUUACUUUGAAAAAAUUAGAGUGUUUAAAGCAGGCUCACGCUUGAAUACAUUAGCAUGGAAUAAUGAAAUAGGACGUUUAAUUCUAUUUUGUUGGUUUCUAGGAUUGACGUAAUGAUUAAUAGGGAUAGUUGGGGGCAUUAGUAUUCAAUUGUCAGAGGUGAAAUUCUUGGAUUUAUUGAAGACUGACUACUGCGAAAGCAUUUGCCAAGGAUGUUUUCAUUAAUCAAGAACGAAAGUUAGGGGAUCGAAGACGAUCAGAUACCGUCGUAGUCUUAAUCAUAAACUAUGCCAACUAGAGAUCGGAUGAUGUUGAUUUUUUAAUGACUCAUUCGGCGCCUUACGGGAACAAG